UGGUUCUGGCAUCGAUGAAGAACGCAGCGAAAUGCGAUAAGUAAUGUGAAUUGCAGAAUUUAGUGAAUCAUCGAAUCUUUGAACGCACAUUGCACCCCUUGGUAUUCCGGGGGGUAUGCCUGUUCGAGCGUCAUUAUGACCUCUCCAGCCUGGCUGGGUGUUGGGCGCCGCCGUUCGGCGGGCCUUAAAGCUAGUGGCGGUGCUCUGAAGCUCUACGCGUAGUAAUUACUUCUCGCUACAGGGCCUUUGGAGACGCUGGCCAGCAACCUCAACUUCUCAAGGUUGACCUCGGAUCAGGUAGGGAUACCCGCUGA
rnacentral:misc_RNA from 1 species